rnacentral:lncRNA from 1 species
GGCGCAGAGACCUGGCUGGAAAGACACAGCGUGGCUUCGAUUCCGGCGCCUGCGUGUCACCAGCCCAGGGUGGCCGUGGAAGCUGGACCCGAGCCGCAGGCCCCCCAGGCUGGGCCUGGGAGGAAAGCGGUUUGAAAAAGAUCGGAACUGAGGAACUCUCUUAGAGCGGGGGACUCCCUGCUCCUACAGCCUUAACCAAUGCCCAGCGCUUGGAAAGUGGAGGACUCGGGGAUUCGGGAGCGUUUCAGGCCUGGGGAAAUGGAAGGGUCGGGGACCUAGGUGAAAGGUUAUUUGCCAGAAAUGUCUUGGCUUUUUCAUUUAUUCUGUCUUACCUAGCCCUUCGCCGCCACCUCCAGUCGUUGGCCUCUUACCACCUUCAAAUGCCACCUUUUCCGGAAGAUGUAGCCCUGCGCCCUUGAAACUGGCAAACCCUAUUAGUGUCUGCAAGCUGAGAUGCAGGGUGUGGGCAUAGACACAGAUCAAGAGAUCCGGCCCUGGACCCUCUUGGGCAGAACCUUGCCCUUCUCAUUUCACCUGAAGCCCAAACUUUGUAUGGCAAAGACUUGGUAAUGAUCUCUAUAGAGCUAGGAUUACACAGUUGUCUCAUCCUUUGGGGGCCCUUUAGCCAAACUGUGACCUCCUUAAUGGUGCCUUCGUCAGCUAACAUUAGGCGCCCUGAGGUGCUUCUGCAUACUGCCAUCGUUUACAAUUACUCAUCUUUGUGUACACACCCUAGCACAAGGUCAGCCAUAUAACAUAAAAGAUGCUCAGUGAAUGUUGAGUAAUUGUGAGCAUCUGGAACUUGCCGUGGGAUAAAACGCGUUCAUUGGGAUUUCUUCAUAAUAAUAUGAAGAUUCCAUUUAGCGCCUCUCUGC